UGAACGCUGGCGGUAGGCCUAACACAUGCAAGUCGAACGGCAGCACAGUAAGAGCUUGCUCUUACGGGUGGCGAGUGGCGGACGGGUGAGGAAUACAUCGGAAUCUACUUUUUCGUGGGGGAUAACGUAGGGAAACUUACGCUAAUACUGCAUACGACCUACGGGUGAAAGCAGGGGAUCUUCGGACCUUGCGCGAUUGAAUGAGCCGAUGUCGGAUUAGCUAGUUGGCGGGGUAAAGGCCCACCAAGGCGACGAUCCGUAGCUGGUCUGAGAGGAUGAUCAGCCACACUGGAACUGAGACACGGUCCAGACUCCUACGGGAGGCAGCAGUGGGGAAUAUUGGACAAUGGGCGCAAGCCUGAUCCAGCCAUACCGCGUGGGUGAAGAAGGCCUUCGGGUUGUAAAGCCCUUUUGUUGGGAAAGAAAAGCAGCAGGUUAAUACCCCGCUGUUCUGACGGUACCCAAAGAAUAAGCACCGGCUAACUUCGUG
rnacentral:rRNA from 1 species